rnacentral:rRNA from 1 species
AGGCUCAAGGCGACGACGGGUAGCCGGCCUGAGAGGGUGACACGGCCACAUUGGGACUGAGAUACGGCCCAGACUCCUACGGGAGGCAGCAGUGGGGAAUAUUGCACAAUGGGCGAAAGCCUGAUGCAGCGACGCCGCGUGAGGGAUGACGGCCUUCGGGUUGUAAACCUCUUUCAGCAGGGACGAAGCGAAAGUGACGGUACCUGCAGAAAAAGCACCGGCUAACUACGUGGCAGA